UACAGAGGUCUCAAGCGUUGUUCGGAUUCAUUGGGCGUAAAGGGUGCGUAGGCGGCGGGGCAAGUCUGAUGUGAAAUCCCGGGGCUCAACCCCGGAACUGCACUGGAUACUGCUCUGCUAGAGAUCUGGAGAGGAAACUGGAAUUUACGGUGUAGCAGUGAAAUGCGUAGAUAUCGUAAGGAAGGCCAGUGGCGAAGGCAAUCCCCUGGGCCUGCACUGACGCUCAUGCACGAAAGCGUGGGGAGCAAACAGG
rnacentral:rRNA from 1 species